CAUCGAUCUUUUCACUCUUUAUCCCCUCCACAUUUAUUCCAUCCCCAACCUCAUUCCCGCUCCCACUCCAUAGACGAACAAAAGCCACACUCUGAUAAACCUCAUUCCCAUAGAAAACCCAAACUCCGAUCGAAUGGACUCAUCUUCCCAACAAAAACCUAAACACUCACUUUGCUAUUUAUGAACCCAUUUUUUUUCAAAUCAAGCUCAACGACGGCACACUCCAAAACCCUAAUUAAUCAAAUGAAAGGUUCCAGAACUAACUAACGGUUUUUGUUAAAUGGAUGUAUCGCCGUGAAAAUUGAUUGAUCGGAAGUGUGAAAAUGAGAACUGGCAGGCAACAGGUGACGCUCCAGGACCUUGUCGAGGAGGCGAAGAAGCGGAAUGUUUUCCUGUUCAUGUGCAGUGUUGGACUAUCAUACCUGAUGUCUUGUAAGUUUUUUGUUUUGGAAUUGUGUUCGGAAAAUGUACUUAUUUGGAAUUGUGUUCAGAAAUUGUCGUUAGUUGUUCAGAUAUUUUGGAUAUAUAUGUUUGUUCAUACAUUCAGGGCUGUAAUUUUGUUUAGAUCAAGACAUGUUCGGGUUGAGCAUUAUGGUUUGGAAAAAAAAAAGUUUAUUUUGGCUCAUGAUUCGAGGAUUGCGUGUUUUACGCAGGCACAUGAUGUGCAUAUAAUUGCUAUUGGCAGUACCAAGGGACGCUGAUUCAGAUUUUGAUACGUAUGAUGGGACUCUGUUGCAGGAGGCAAGAAGAUUGCUACCAACUUGUAAAAGAAACACCAUUUACCUCGCUAUAAUGUUUAGGAGUACGGGUGCAAACGAGCCUAGCUAUUCGAGCUCGGCUCGAAAAAAAAAAGCUCGAACGAGCCGAGCUUAAACGAGCUUGAGCUCGAGCCCGAGUCUAAAAACAAGCUCAUUUGGUAAACAAGCCCGAGCUUCGCUUAUCGAGCUUAAGCCGGCCUGCGAGCCUAAACGAGCUUUCUGUUUAUAUAUUUUUAUUAUUAUUUUUAUAUAAUAAUAAUUACCAUUUAUAUAAAUAUAAAAAAAUAACUAAAUUAUAUGUUUAAUAAUAAUUAUAAUUAAUAUAAAUUAAUUAAUAAAUACUAAACGAGUCGAGCCCAAGACGAGCUUGAGCUUGAAAAAUUACCUUCGAGCCGAGCUCGAGCUUUAGAAAUAAAUAAAGCUCGAAUCGAGCCGAGCUCGAGCUUUCAUAUGUUAAAUGAGCUCGAGCUCGAGCUCGAGCUCGAGCGUGGCCGAGCUCGGGCUCGGCUCGAGCGCACUUAGGAGUAAGUGUUCUUUUCCCUUGCUCUGUCUCUUUUUUGCAUUCUAAGCAGUAAGCACGCAUCAUUCUAGGGUUAACAUCUAAUAUCUGAUCUUAUAAAUUGAUAUAGCAAUGUUAUUCCAACUAUAUGGAUUCUUUACCAUACACAUCUGAUUUUUUAUAGAUAUAGAUAGUAUGUUAAAAGAUUGCAUUGGAGUUAUCAUGUGACUACAUUCAAUUUAUUUGUUAUAAUGCCAUAUUCAAGUUUAAUACACCCCUAGCCAUCUAAGUAGUUAAUGCGGUAAAAUAUCGGAUAUCGGUCAAGGACUGAUAUCUGAGAUAUCGGUUAUCGCAGUGAGAUAUCGGUGGGAUAUCGGUAAUUAUAAUAUCAUGCUAAAUUUAUAUAUAUAGCAAUUUAACACUAACAAUUCAUUAUACCCUCCUACCAUUAACAUUUUGCAACUUGGAAAACACUAACAAUUGUAGCAAGUAAGAACUGACUAAGACUUAAAACACUAACAUUUAACAGUAACAACUAACAAUUAAGACUUAAAAAACUAAUAGCAAAAACAAGAAGAAAGAUGAACAAUAGGACUUAGAAGAAAGGUACUGGUAUCGAGAAAAUCGGCGAUUUAUCGGUCAAAUAUCAGUCCAAUAUCGGUCAAAUAUCGGACAAUAUCGCUGAUAUUAUCGGUACUGAUAUUCUAGCUGAUAUUUUGUACCGCUAUCUCGGUAGGGGACCGAUAACCGAUAUAUCACUGAUAUAUCGGUUGAUAUAUCGGGAUAUUAACUACAUAGCUAGCCAUUGAGUUACUCAAAUAACUGAAUUCACCACUACACUUGAACAUAAGAAAAAAAAAUACAUUCUCAUUCUCGUAUCAUAACAUUUUCUAAUAAUUCGUACAAAUCUUCCACUCGUUAAUAAAAUGUAUAUAAGUUCCCCAAGUAUCUUUUGGUGUUUCUAAAAUAUGUAUAAUUUUUGUUCUUGUGUAACUCUUUCAGAUUAUGGGAAGAGCAGAGGAAUACUCUGCUGCGGACAUGGCUUUCGCGGAGAAUGGUCGAGUUAUACACCAAUGUAACACUUGUUCUUAUUAUUCACCGUUUAACGUAUAUUUUACGAAAAACAAUCAUGUAAUUCAGAUUACAUAAACAUUUGGAAAUACGGGUUUAUUAAAACUUUUACAAUUUAUAAUUUAUUC